rnacentral:rRNA from 1 species
AAAACAUGUCUUUUUGAUAAAAAUUUAAAGUCAGGUCUGCUCACUGAACAAUUUUAAAGAGCCGCAGUAUACUGACUGUGCAAAGGUAGCAUAAUCAAUAGUUUUUUAAUUGAAAACUGGAAUGAAAGAUUAGACGAAAAAUUAGUUUUUUUUAUUUUAAUAAGUUUAAUUUUAAUUUUAAGUGAAAAUGCUUAAAUGUAAUUAAAAGACGAGAGACCCUAUAGAUUUUUAUUAUUAAAAUAAAUUUAUAAAUGUGAUUUAAUAAAAUAAUUUAAUUGGGGCGAUUUUAUAAUAUAAAUAACUUAAUUUUUUUAAACCAUAAAUAAUUGAAUUUUUGAUCUAAAACUUUUAAAGAAAAGAUUAAAUUACCUUAGGGAUCGUAAUUUUAUUUAAGAGUUCAUAUCU